rnacentral:rRNA from 1 species
AACGAACGCUGGCGGCAGGCUUCAUACAUGCAAGUCGAGCGGGCGUCUCUUUUCGGAGAGGCGUUAGCGGCGAACGGGUGAGUAACAGGUGGAUAAUCUGCCUCCUGGCGGGGGAUAACGGCUGGAAACGGCCGCUAAUACCGCAUGUGAUUGCCGGGUCCAUGCCCGGCAAAGAAAGGCGCUUCACGGCGUCACCAGGAGAUGAGUCCGCCCCCCAUUAGCUAGUUGGCGGGAUAACAGCCCACCAAGGCUUCGAUGGGUAGCCGAGCUGAGAGGUUGAUCGGCCACACUGGAACUGAGACACGGUCCAGACACCUACGGGUGGCAGCAGUAGGGAAUAUUGGACAAUGGGCGAAAGCCUGAUCCAGCCAUGCCGCGUGAGUGAUGAAGGCCUUCGGGUCGUAAAGCUCUUUUCUGAGGGAAGAACAGCCGGGGGAGGAAAUGUCCCCGGCCUGACGGUACCUUAGGAAUAAGGGACGGCUAACUCCGUG